GACGAACGCUGGCGGCGUGCUUAACACAUGCCAGUCGAACGGAAAGGCCCCUUUGGGGGUCCUCGAGUGGCGAACGGGUGAGUAACACGUGAGUAACCUGCCCUUGACUUCGGGAUAACUUCAGGAAACUGGGGCUAAUACCGGAUAGGAAUCCUUGCUACAUGGUGGGGGUUGGAAAGCUUCGGCGGUUUUGGAUGGACUCGCGGCUUAUCAGCUUGUUGGUGGGGUAGUGGCUUACCAAGGCUUUGACGGGUAGCCGGCCUGAGAGGGCGACCGGCCACAUUGGGACUGAGAGACGGCCCAGACUCCUACGGGAGGCAGCAGUGGGGAAUAUUGCACAAUGGGCGGAAGCCUGAUGCAGCAACGCCGCGUGCGGGAUGACGGCCUUCGGGUUGUAAACCGCGUUCAGCAGGGGCGAAGCUUGUGGUGACGGUACCUGCAGAAGAAGCACCGGCUAACUACGUG
rnacentral:rRNA from 1 species